UUUCAAUCAUCAGACAAAAAGACUUUUAAAUUAAAACUUACCAUUUAAUAAACUUUGUUCAUUCAAUUUUUCAGAGCAAAUAUUGUCAUUCCAGAUGAAGAUUUAGAAAAAACAUCAAAAAUGCCUGUCCUAACUAUAGACGAACACUUCAAAUCUCCAUGGAUGGAUAAUGAUAAAUGGGUAGAUAAAGUAAAAUUUUAAUUUGUAAUUUGAAACACAUAAGGUUCAAAUAAAAAAACUAUUUUUAUUUUAUUUUAUAAUGACAAUCUUUCCCAAUAAAUUAAGGAGGUAUUUAAAUCAUGAUUUUUAUUUGUUUAAUUUAAAUCAUGAUUUAAAUCAAAACAACUCUGUAUAUCUUUUUGAGGCAUAGGGACAUUAUUCUUGGUUUUAUUAGUUUUUUAAUUUAAUUUUAUUGGAUAUUGUUCAUACUUAGUUUGCGUACAGCAAUUAACAACUUUGAGCUUAUACAUUAAUUUUAGUUAUAGCUUAAUUAUUAAUGAAUUGAUUUAUAGAUUUUUAUAGCAAACCAAGAUUAAACUUAGUAGACAGCUCUGGAGACAAAAAAGUAAGGCAGAUAAAAUGAUCAGCCAAAAUAAAGAUUAAAGAGACAAAAAAUUCUUGGUGAAGAUGAUUCUUCAUAUUGUUUUAAUAAUGAUUUAUCUUCAAUUUCAUAAUUAAAAAAAAUAAACUUUAGGACUUACCUGUAACCUCAAAAUCUUUGCAAAAAUUGGAAAAACAUUGUUUUAAUAUGAAUUUUUUUGUUUUACAGUGCAGUCUAUAUCUCAAACAUUAACGAGAAUUGUUUUGUGUCAGUGCUAGAAAUUAAAUGCACACCAGUAAAUUUCAUAAUUAAAAUAUUAUGAAUCCAUUAGCAAAUAAAAUUGUAUCCUCUAAAGAUAUGAAGGUAUUAUUUGCACAAUUGGCAAGCAUUAAAGUGCAACUUGGUGAACUACAAAACACGUCAAAUUUAAUUUUAAAAAAUAAUUAGAAAAAGUAACAAAGAUAUGCCAAUUAAUGAUUUGCCUGACAGAGUGUCAUCGCCACUAAAAGCAGUAAAGAGUUUAAGUACCCUAGAAGAAAAAUUAAAAGACAAGAAAAUACUUAAGCAAAUGGUUAAUUAUUUGAGACAAAUUAGAGUUAAAGAUGAAGGAGAUUGUAUAUGUUAUUUACUAAGAAUAGUUUUUAAAAAUGGCCUAGCUGUAAAAUUAAAUUAUGCAGUAAGAGGACAAAAAAUCGGAAUAGGAAAAUGUUGAUUGCAUAUGUUGCUAUUGAGACUGUGAAGUCAAAUAAUCAUGGCUUAUGCAGACAUGUGAAAGUGAUGGUGAAAGAAAAGAUAAUAGUCGUGGGCAUCAAAUAUCAUUAGCUAAACACGAUUCAAUAACAAGUAGCUCAGCCAAUAUCAAGAUUCCUCCAUAAAUUUUAUAGG